UACGUAGGACCCAAGCGUUAUCCGGAAUUACUGGGCGUAAAGAGUUGCGUAGGUGGCAGAGUAAGCGAGGUGUGAAAUUGUGUGGCUCAACCAUACACCCAUAUCUUGAACUGCUCAGCUAGAGGACGAGAGAGGUAGAUGGAAUUCCCAGUGUAGGAGUGAAAUCCGUAGAUAUUGGGAGGAACACCGAUGGCGUAGGCAGUCUACUGGCUCGUUCCUGACACUAAGGCACGAAAGCGUGGGGAGCAAACGGG
rnacentral:rRNA from 1 species